CACUACAGGCCUCCAGUACCCGCUGAGCUGCACUGGGGAACCUGCUCUUUCGGUGGGAAAGGGCGCGUCGCCCGCCCUCUAUCGGGCCUUUGACCAGGGGCGCUGGUGACCGGGGCGCCGGUGGCAGGUGCGGAGGGAGCUCUCACACCGAGUCAGAUGGAGCCAUCCCGCCUUCACUAGACCCGCAAAGCUACUCAGAACGUUGUUACUUGGGGCGAAUGUGGAAGCGUGUGUUUUGCUUUAGGGUCCGUGUGAAAGUAGACGGAUUGCUGGGGAUCUUGGUAAAUGAAGUUUCUCUUUUCCUUGGACAGAUGUAGACACACAUGUGUCUCUAGUGUCUGCAGAGACACGUCGUGUCAUCCCCACAGACAAGCUUCACAAAGUGCGGGGUUUGUGAGAGGACAAACACAUCGCUUCCAGGUUUGGGGAGCUCGGACUGUGCUCGCCAGGAAGUUCAGUCUGACUUGCCUCAGAAAGAAUGCUACUUUCUGCUACGUGGACGCCUCUGUCAAGGUCGCCAAUGCUUGCUUUACUUCCAAUCCAUCAGUCACCACUCUGCCUUCACUGUGUUCAGCUCUCUUACAAGACUCCAGAGCAUGCUUCCACCCAUUUGGUGAGUCCGUCCCUGAAACUCAAUACCCCCAGCUGCUGUGAAGUUGUUCACACAUGUGGCUGUUCUUCCUCGGUCUUCCCUGCUGGUACCUUCAUGCUCAGAUCCCUUCACUGUGGAAAUUCACGUGACUUAGUUCUUGAGUCUUAACUCUUCUGACUCUGUCAUCUCUGCUUAAGUGAUCUCAUCCAGUCUCAAAUGCCACCACUCCUAAUAUCAUUUAUAUGAUGUUGACUCUUAAAUCCAUCCACUGAGCUCCAAAUAUACAGAGAUACGAGUUGCAUAUUUGAGAUCUCUGCUUGAAUGCUUCUCAACAUCUCAAACGUGACCUGCCUGAAUCAGCACAGAGUCACCACCCCAGAAAAGCUGUUCUUCUGACUACAGUCUUCAUGGACUAAAUGCACCCCCUACCCCCACACUCAGUUAAAGCUCACAGUCAACAACGCACGUCUCAGUGUUUGUCCUCCCUCCCCGACAUGUCCAAGCAAUCAGCAAGGACUUUUGCUUUUGUUCCUAAAAUAUUUCCAAUCCACCCCCUUCCUCUAGGAUAACUUUUUUGCUCUGGCUCAAGGUCACUAGGAGUCGGACAGGACUGAGCGACUUCACUUUCACUUUUCACUUUCAUGCAUUGGAGAUGGAAAUGGCAACCCACUCCAGUGUUCUUGCCUGGAGAAUCCCAGGGACAGGGGAGCCUGGUGGGCUGCCGUUUCUGGGGUCGCACAGAGUUGGACACGACUGAAGUGAUGCAGCAGCAGCAGCAGCAGCAGCAAGGUGCUGUUAUUUCUUAUCUAUCCAAAGGCCAUAGUCCACUCAUUGAUCUCAGGGUGACCGCUGUUCCCUGGGACUCCUCUGCACAGCAGCAGGAAUGAAUUUUGAUGACAUGAAUCCUUCCAUGUCACGCCUGUGUUCAGACAAUCCUAGGGUUUCCCAGUGCCCUGGGGCCAACACCCAGCUUUGGCAGCCUGAUGUGGCUCUCAUCAACCACUCUCUUCUCCUGGUCACCUUCAUCCCAAGUCCUCGUAUUGACCAAGCUCAGUCCUGCCUGAAAUACACUGCCCAACCUAAACUACAACUCCCCCACCCACCCCCCUGCCCCAGAUCUUGACAAGUCUGGUUCCUUCUUUGCCAUCAAGUCUCAGCUCAGAGGUCACAUGAUCAAAGAGGCCUCCAUUGACCAGCCAGUUCAAGUUAUCCCCCUAGUCUCUUUGAACAUCCAUCAAGGUGUUUUAAGGUCUAUAACAAGUAUUUAUCUGGGAACAUAUUAGUGUCUUUUUUUCCAUAUUGAUUCUCCUUUCCUACUAUAACAUGGACAGCAGGGAAGCAAAACCUUGGUACCUUCUGAGUCCCCUUCCUGAAAAACAAUGUCCAGCCCACAGUGGGUGUUCCGUAAACAGUGGUAACUGAUUAACAGUGGAAACUCUAUGAUAAUUGCUAAGGGUACAAAGGUAAACAAAAUGAUGUCUUUGUUCUUCAGAGCUGCAAAGUAUUUGUUAUUUACAGGAAUAAGUGCUUUAACACUGUGGCUACUUUUUUUUAUAACAAUAGCUUUUUAAAAAAAUAUGCUCAUUUAUUUUGAAACUAUCAAAGGUAUAUUUUCAAGGAAUAAUAAGGAUUUAUUUUUAGAGAGAUUUCACUUCAUAUGCUUCCAUAAUUAAAAUCUUCAGCUAAUUAGCUAGAUGGAUAUUCAUGUUUAAAUUACAAAAAUUAUUCAUUGUCUGGAAAAAACAAAAGUAAGGACAUAGGCAGAGAUUUUAUUUUCAACCUUCCCCUAAUUCUCUUUGCUCUGCAUUUGUUAUGCUUUUGUUAUUUUUGCUUCUGUAUAAAGAAUAGUUAUGUAAUUAUUUUUAUUUAUAAAUGCAUCUACUAUUAUAACAGCAAGUAUAAUGACUAUGGAAAAACUAGGAAAGAAUGAAGAAAACAGCCUGGCACAUCCUUACCAAUUACAUCACAAUUUUAAUGUAUUUUCUCCUAAACAUGUUUCAAUGUAUCAUCUCAACCCCUAUUAAAGUAUCACAGCUUACUUCCAAUUGUUACUAAUACUCAGUAAGAUUUUAAUAUGUAAUAAAAUAUGUAAGAUUUUA